GAUUACAUACUUUAUAUAAAAGGCUUAGCUUGCACCUAAAAAUAGAGCCAUUGACUCUGUAAUUA
rnacentral:tRNA from 1 species